rnacentral:lncRNA from 1 species
GGAAUUGUAACAAAGAUUGGUCAUUCUCAAUUUUAAACUCAAUGAACCUUGUAUUGUUACCUUGAAUUGAACAUGGAUAUUUUCCAGAAAUAUCCAUAUGAAUAUUUUCACUAUUUGUUCCCAUUUUCUCAUGCAACAAUCCAACCAAUUCAACAUAGUUAGUUGAGGUAGACAUGCUAAUAAUCAUUCUAGCACAUUCAGUAUACCUAAAUCCGUUCAUAUCCGUAAUUAUUUCGCCA